AGUUUAAUGGCUGAGUUUAAGCAUUAGAUUGUAAAUCUAAUUACGAGAAUAUUUCUCUUAAACUA